GGUUGUAUAGUGUAGCGGUUAGCACGCCAGAUUCUGAUUUUCCAGAGACAAUUCUGGAGACCUGGGUUCGAUUCCCAGUACGACCU
rfam:Emmonsia sp. CAC-2015a strain CBS 136260 supercont2.497, whole genome shotgun sequence.